UACAGAGGUCUCAAGCGUUGUUCGGAUUCAUUGGGCGUAAAGGGUGCGUAGGUGGCGAUGUAAGUCUAACGUGAAAUCUCGGGGCUCAACCCCGAAAUUGCGUCGGAUACUGCGUUGCUAGAGGAUUGUAGAGGAGAGUGGAAUUCAUGGUGUAGCAGUGAAAUGCGUAGAUAUCAUGAGGAAGACCAGUUGCGAAGGCGACUCUCUGGGCAACUCCUGACACUGAGGCACGAAGGCUAGGGGAGCAAAC
rnacentral:rRNA from 1 species